GACGAACGCUGGCGGCGUGCUUAACACAUGCAAGUCGAACGGAAAGGCCCUGCUUUUGUGGGGUGCUCGAGUGGCGAACGGGUGAGUAACACGUGAGUAACCUGCCCUUUACUUUGGGAUAACUUCAGGAAACUGGGGCUAAUACCGGAUAGGAGCUCCUGCUGCAUGGUGGGGGUUGGAAAGUUUCGGCGGUUGGGGAUUGACUCGCGGCUUAUCAGCUUGUUGGUGGGGUAGUGGCUUACCAAGGCUUUGACGGGUAGCCGGCCUGUGAGGGUGACCGGCAACAUUGGGACUGAGAUACGGCCCAGAAUCCUACGGGAGGCAGCAGUGGGGAAUAUUGCACAAUGGGCGGAAGCCUGAUGCAGCAACGCAGCGUGCGGGAUGACGGCCUUCGGGUUGUAAACCGCUUUCGCCUGUGACGAAGCGUGAGUGACGGUAAUGGGUAAAGAAGCACCGGCUAACUACGUG
rnacentral:rRNA from 1 species